UACGUAGGUGGCGAGCGUUGUCCGGAAUUAUUGGGCGUAAAGCGCGUGUAGGUGGUCUUGUAAGUCAGAUGUUAAAGCCUCCGGCUCAACCGGAGUUCGCAUCUGAUACUGCUGGACUUGAGAGAUUCAGAAGAAAGCGGAACUUGCGGUGUAGCGGUGAAAUGCGUAGAUAUCGCAAGGAACACCAGUGGCGAAGGCGGCUUUCUAGGGAUCUUCUGACACUGAGACGCGAAAGCUAGGGGAGC
rnacentral:rRNA from 1 species